rnacentral:rRNA from 1 species
UGGGGAAUAUUGCACAAUGGGGGAAACCCUGAUGCAGCGACGCCGCGUGAACGAAGAAGGUAUUCGUAUCGUAAAGUUCUGUCCUAUGGGAAGAUAAUGACAGUACCAUAGAAGAAAGCUCCGGCUAAAUACGUGCCAGCAGCCGCGGUAAUACGUAUGGAGCGAGCGUUGUCCGGAAUUAUUGGGCGUAAAGGGUACGCAGGCGGUUUAAUAAGUCGAAUGUUAAAGAUCGGGGCUCAACCCCGUAAAGCAUUGGAAACUGAUAAACUUGAGUAGUGGAGAGGAAAGUGGAAUUCCUAGUGUAGUGGUGAAAUACGUAGAUAUUAGGAGGAAUACCAGUAGCGAAGGCGACUUUCUGGACACAAACUGACGCUGAGGUACGAAAGCGUGGGGGGCAAACAGG